rnacentral:rRNA from 1 species
UACGAAGGGGGCUAGCGUUGUUCGGAAUUACUGGGCGUAAAGCGUGCGCAGGCGGCUUCUCAAGUCAGGGGUGAAAGCCCAGAGCUCAACUCUGGAAUUGCCUUUGAGACUGAGUGGCUUGAGUACGAGAGAGGUGAGUGGAAUUCCCAGUGUAGAGGUGAAAUUCGUAGAUAUUGGGAAGAGCACCGGUGGCGAAGGCGGCUACACUGGCUCGUAACUGACGCUCAUGCACGACAGCGUGGGGAUCAAACAGG